GACGAACGCUGGCGGCGCGCUUAACACAUGCAAGUCGAGCGAAGCGGCGGACGGGUGAGUAACACGUGAGUAACCUGCCUUAGACCUUGGGAUAGCCUCGGGCAACCGGGAUUAAUACCAAAUGGUCUAAGAUGGACUCGCCUCGCAUUAGCUAGCUGGUGAGGUAACGGCCCACCAAGGCGACGAUGGGUACCCGGCCUGUGAGGGUGAACGGCCACAUUGGAACUGGGAAACGGGCCAAACUCUACGGGAGGCAGCAGUGGGGAAUAUUGCAAAAUGGAGGGAACUCUGAUGCAGCGACGCCGGGUGAACGAAGAAGGCUUUCGAGGCGUAAAGUUCUUUUAUAUGGGAAGCGGUACCAGAAGAAAAAGCCCCGGCUAACUACGUGCCAGCAGCCGCGGUAAUAC
rnacentral:rRNA from 1 species